AAGCGCUUAAGUCUGAUUCUUCGGAUGAAGACUUUUGUGACUGAGCGGCGGACGGGUGAGUAACGCGUGGGUAACCUGCCUCAUACAGGGGGAUAACAGUUAGAAAUGACUGCUAAUACCGCAUAAGACCACGGUACCGCAUGGUACAGUGGUAAAAACUCCGGUGGUAUGAGAUGGACCCGCGUCUGAUUAGGUAGUUGGUGGGGUAACGGCCUACCAAGCCGACGAUCAGUAGCCGACCUGAGAGGGUGACCGGCCACAUUGGGACUGAGACACGGCCCAAACUCCUACGGGAGGCAGCAGUGGGGAAUAUUGCACAAUGGGGGAAACCCUGAUGCAGCGACGCCGCGUGAGUGAAGAAGUAUUUCGGUAUGUAAAGCUCUAUCAGCAGGGAAGAAGAAAGACGGUACCUGACUAAGAAGCCCCGGCUAACUACGUGCCAGCAGCCGCGGUAAUACGUAGGGGGCAAGCGUUAUCCGGAUUUACUGGGUGUAAAGGGAGCGUAGACGGUGUGGCAAGUCUGAUGUGAAAGGCAUGGGCUCAACCUGUGGACUGCAUUGGAAACUGUCAUACUUGAGUGCCGGAGGGGUAAGCGGAAUUCCUAGUGUAGCGGUGAAAUGCGUAGAUAUUAGGAGGAA
rnacentral:rRNA from 1 species